rnacentral:rRNA from 1 species
CCCUUAGAUGUUCUGGGCCGCACGCGCGCUACACUGAUGCAUUCAACAAGCCUAGCCUUGACCGAGAGGUCCGGGUAAUCUUUGAAACUGCAUCGUGAUGGGGCUAGAUUAUUGCAAUUAUUAAUCUUCAACGAGGAAUGCCUAGUAAGCGUGAUUCAUCAAAUCGCGUUGAUUACGUCCCUGCCCUUUGUACACACCGCCCGUCGCUCCUACCGAUUGGAUGAUCCGGUGAGCUAUUCGGACCUUCGCUUCGUCGAUUUUCGGCUUUGUGAGGGAAAGUCUCGCGAACCUUAUCAUCUAGAGGAAGGAGAAGUCGUAACA